CUUUGACGACGAUCACCACAACUUCAUCCACUACCCACACAGAUCAGGCAGAAAGAUCGACGUCUAAAACUCUCGCUGCAGCGACAGUCGUGACGGAGGCAUUGGCAACUCCUGCGGAAGACCGAAUGAUUUCGACGACUAAAAAGCAAACCACCACAACAAGACCAGGGGACGCUGUCAGGGACAUACUGAGUUUGAUCAAGAAUUGAGAGGCAUGAUAUUGGAAGUUCGAUCAUCACUUGCUCAACUGAUGUACGGGAGCCACCAGGGACUUUCAUGUGUAUAGAUUUAAUUAUGAUCACCCGAGUCUGAAGAAGGAGGUCUGGGGCGGAUGUUCGGUUUUCUUUACCCCUAAUUUGUAAAAGUUCUAUUCAUUUUCUCUCUUCCCUUUCGUUUUGCAAUGAGGUGAGGUAUUUUGAUGGAAUGUGUAUCGGUAUAUUUCAUAAUAAACUCCCUUGCCAAGAACUUCACAAUUGAA